CACUGUCCGUAUAGCAUUCAAAUUUGGUGGAAUUUGCUCAAGGAAGCUGGAGCAAGUUGGGUCACUCCAAAGGGCUGUUUUGAGCUCCUAAGCACUAAGUUCGAAGGCCUAGGGAAAGGGAGGAAAGCCAAAACUUUGUGGGGAUCUCUGUUGUUGGCCCUCUUCUGGAACAUUUGGUUGGAGCGUAAUAAAAGAGUCUUUGAGGAUUACAAGGGAGUGGGGGUUGAGGAGCUUUGGGAUAGAGUAAAACACUGGGCAGCCCUUUGGGCUUCGGUUUCAGUGGAGUUUAGAGAUUACAAUUUCUCUUCUAUUUUUAGGGAUUUGUUAGCUGCCGUUAUUUGAUUUGGUCUAGCUUUUCCUCUGUUCAUUUAGUUUUAGUUAGGGGCCCUUGCUAGUUUUCUUCUAGCUCCAGGUGGAUUUCUUUUCCACGUGGUUUACUGUUUCUCUUUUGUAAUUCUUUCGUUUUAUAAAAUUCUUUCGUUUCUUUUCAAAAAAAAAAAUUCAUUACUGGCUUUAUCAUAUUCAUUACCCUCUUUUUCUUAAAAGGGUUUUGGCUUUGGAAGGAGAUGGAGAUCGGUGACAAUGAUCGGAGUUCGUCGCUGUGUGGAUGAUCCCAGUGUAGCGCUGGUUUUCAACUCUAGUGUUUUGUAGGGUUUUGGGGGCGUGAAUUUUGGGGGAUUUCGUUUUGGAUUUCUAGCCCUGAAUUUUGCAAGGACUGUCUACCCUGUAUGUACACCAAAUGCUCCUGACAUUUCAAAUAAGUUAGGUGUCACUAGAUGGUCCACUAAAGCAGCUAAGGGUAUUGAAAUCAGUUAUGGUUGAUUGGUGGUGUGGAAUUGUAGAGGGAUAUGGUAGACAUGAGUAUAAUUGGAAUGGAUACAAGAGGCUCUUUCAAAUGGUACAGGCCUGUUUUAUAUAAAUACGUUUUUUGACUUGCAGAAGCUUUUUUCUCUCAGUGGGCAUAUAAACACCACCUGUGGUUAAUUGUUUUGCAAUCUUUGUGGUCAUUUUUAUUCUUUCCAUGGUUCCUGUAAUGCUUGGCAAAGUUAUGAAAUUUAGUCUCUGAAUUCACAGUAUAGAGAUUAUAUAAUCAUUUGGGCAUGGUUUCUCUCUAGGAUAAAGCUUGUCUGGCUAUAUAUAUGGAAUUGGGUUUGUGUAAUUAAUGUCAAAUAAUUGAGUCCAACAUAGUUAUAAGCUUUCAUCUUUC